GUGCUCGCUCCAGCAGUGCAUACACUAAAAUUGGAGCAACACAGAGAAGAUUAAUAUGGUCCCUGUGCAAAGACAAGAUGCAAAUUUGUGAAGCAUUCUGUAUUUUC